rnacentral:rRNA from 1 species
CGAACGAAGCUUGAUUACGGAAUUCUUCGGAAAGAAGUAUGAUAUGACUUAGUGGCGGACGGGUGAGUAACGCGUGAGUAUCCUGCCUUUCAGAGGGGGAUAACGUUUGGAAACGAACGCUAAUACCGCAUGAAAUAUAUUUAAGGCAUCUUAGAUAUAUCAAAGAUUUAUCGCUGAGAGAUGGACUCGCGUCUGAUUAGAUAGUUGGUGAGGUAACGGCUCACCAAGUCGACGAUCAGUAGCCGGACUGAGAGGUUGAACGGCCACAUUGGGACUGAGACACGGCCCAGACUCCUACGGGAGGCAGCAGUGGGGAAUAUUGCACAAUGGGCGCAAGCCUGAUGCAGCAACGCCGCGUGAGGGAAGACGGUCUUCGGAUUGUAAACCUUUGUCUUUGGUGAAGAAGAAAGUGACGGUAGCCAAGGAGGAAGCCACGGCUAACUACGUGCCAGCAGCCGCGGUAAUACGUAGGUGGCAAGCGUUGUCCGGAAUUACUGGGUGUAAAGGGAGCGCAGGCGGGACAGCAAGUUGGAUGUGAAAUACCGAGGCUUAACCACGGAGCUGCAUCCAAAACUGUUGUUCUUGAGUGAAGUAGAGGUAGGCGGAAUUCCGAGUGUAGCGGUGAAAUGCGUAGAUAUUCGGAGGAACACCAGUGGCGAAGGCGGCCUACUGGGCUUUAACUGACGCUGAGGCUCGAAAGUGUGGGAGCAAACAGGAUUAGAUACCCUGGUAGUCCACACUGUAAACGAUGAUUGCUAGGUGUGGGGGGUCUGACCCCCUCCGUGCCGGAGUUAACGCAAUAAGCAAUCCACCUGGGGAGUACGGCCGCAAGGUUGCAACUCAAAGG